UAAUUUCGACUUUCAAAGUCAUAAUUAUGAGAUUUAAAGUCAUAAUUUCGACUUUCAAAGUCAUAAUUUCGACUUUCAAAGUCAUAAUUAUGAGAUACCGGAGCAGUUGGAGACAAGCCUCCUUAGAAUAACAGCUCCGCUCCAGCUCCCAGUUAAAUCCUAAAUCCAAGGUCCAACCUUUGCUACUGCGUUAAGAGUCAGUAAAAGGAUACCUACAAAAGAGACAGAGGAGGUUCCUUUGACCUGAACCUAAACCUAAACAGAGAUUGACUCCAGUGUCCUUCUGCUCAUGACAGAUGAUCAGCUUAAGGAGUAUCUCCCAUCUUAUGGUGACCGACUGGCACUUCUCGGAUAUUGCAGACGAAGGGAAAAUGAUCCUGCUGGCCGGAAAUCAAAACCUUUUGACCGAUUGAGAGCCAAGAUUUCAAGGAACAAAGGCAACGAUCAAAAGCAGAUCUCAGAAAAUGUUAGCAUCAGAAAUGCUCAAAAAACUGUUCGAAAAGUUGAGAUAGGAUGGAUGAAUUCUCGAGAUGGGGAGCUUUUACAAGUUCGGACAAAGAAAGGUGGUGGAACAAGAAAAAUUUAUGUGUCAAAGGACUGUAGAAAAAAUGACUUAAUUGAAAAGGCAGUGGGUUUGUUUUUUCCGUCUCAAAGAAAUUCACAUGGAAGAAUUACAGAUUUUGAGGUUGACAUGACAGAUUUCCAGGAACAUUCACUUGAUGAACAUAUUACAGUUGGAGAACUUUAUGA